AACGAACGCUGGCGGCAUGCCUAACACAUGCAAGUCGAACGAGACCUUCGGGUCUAGUGGCGCACGGGUGCGUAACGCGGGGGAACCUGCCCUUAGGUUCGGAAUAACUCCCCGAAAGGGGUGCUAAUACCGGUUAAUGUCUUCGGACCAAAGAUUUAUCGCCUUUGGAUGGGCCCGCGUUGGAUUAGCUAGUUGGUAGGGUAAAAGCCUACCAAGGCGACGAUGCAUAGCUGGUCUGAGAGGAUGAUCAGUCAGACUGGGACUGAGACACGGCCCAGACUGCUACGGGAGGCAGCAGUGUAGAAUAUUGGACGAUGGGCGAAAGCCUGAUACAGCAAUGCCGCGUGAGUGAUGAAGGCCUUAGGGUUGUAAAGCUCUUUUACCCGGGAUGAUAAUGACAGUACCGGGAGAAUAAGCUCCGGCUAACUACGUG
rnacentral:rRNA from 1 species